UACGUAGGGUGCGAGCGUUGUCCGGAAUUAUUGGGCGUAAAGGGCUCGUAGGCGGUUUGUCGCGUCGGGAGUGAAAACAUCGGGCUUAACUCGAUGCUUGCUUUCGAUACGGGCAGACUUGAGGUAUGCAGGGGAGAAUGGAAUUCCUGGUGUAGCGGUGAAAUGCGCAGAUAUCAGGAAGAACACCAAUGGCGAAAGCAGCUCUCUGGGACGGUACUGACGCUGAGACGCGAAAGCGUGGGGAGCGAACAGG
rnacentral:rRNA from 1 species